GGCGUGCUUUCACAUGCAAGUCGAACGGCAGCACGGGGGCAACCCUGGUGGCGAGUGGCAAACGGGUGAGUAAUACUUCGGAACGUACCUUCUAAUGGGGGAUAACUACUCGAAAGAGUGGCUAAUACCGCAUAUGUCUAAGGAUGAAAGCGGGGGAUCGUAAGACCUCGCGUUAGUUGAGCGGCCGAAGCAAGAUUAGGUAGUUGGUGAGGUAAAGGCUCACCAAGCCGACGAUCUUUAGCUGGUCUGAGAGGACGAUCAGCCACACUGGAACUGAGACACGGUCCAGACUCCUACGGGAGGCAGCAGUGGGGAAUUUUGGUCAAUGGGGGCAACCCUGAUCCAGCAACGCCGCGUGAGUGAAGAAGGCCUUCGGGUUGUAAAGCUCUUUUGUUAGGGAAGAAAUCUUUUAGGCUAAUACCUUGGGAGGAUGACGGUACCUAAAGAAUAAGCACCGGCUAACUACGUGCCAGCAGCCGCGGUAAUACGUAGGGUGCGAGCGUUAAUCGGAAUUACUGGGCGUAAAGCGUGCGCAGGCGGUUUUGUAAGACAGGCGUGAAAUCCCCGAGCUUAACUUGGGAAUGGCGUCUGUGACUGCAAGGCUAGAGUGUGUUAGAGGGGGGUGGAAUUCCGCGUGUAGCAGUGAAA
rnacentral:rRNA from 1 species